AAACUUAAGGCUAAAAAUCAAAACGACAAAUAAUAGAACAAGAACACCAAGGUUUUCAAAUCAUCUCAAAAGGUUUUUAUCAAAAUUCAAAGUAAAAUUAAACAACUCUACUAAUAGGCUAAAAAAUAGGCUUAGGACGACUUCUAAAACCACGCAUUUAACACAAUUUUGAUUCUAAAAUAUCUAAGGCUUUCUCAAAACACGCAUUUCACAUUUAAGAAAAUAACAAGAUGUGGUAACCGUAUUUUUCAUGAAAAUCGGGAGUGCCUAACACCUUCCCCUUCUUAAGCAAGUUCCCAAACUCUAUGAAUUUCGAUUUCUAGACCAAUUUUAUAGUCCCAUAUUAGACAAUAUUACAAAAACCUUAAAAAUCCGGAUGAGUUGGUACAUUCAUUUAAACUUAUACCAACUGACGACUGUCUAAUUGGCCCAUCAUUAAAAUCAACCUUUCAAAAUCCCAUCAGUAUUUAUGUCGAUUUUUCUUAAAAAUCACCCUUUAAAUAAAACAUUGAAAUAAAAAUCUUAAAAAGGGUAGAAACAACAACUAGGAAAAAUUCCUUGGCGACGACAUAAAUUAGUUAGGAAAACAAAAUAAAAAGCAAACUAAGUUUUAGAGGCUAACUAAAUUAGUUAGUGUGACACCCCUAAAAUUUGUUUACUUCACUAUUAACUAUCUACCAUCUAUAAUUUAAUAUCAUUAAAUAUUUUGUUUCUAUUACAUAUUUAUAUCUAUAACCUCGCAAGACUCAACCUUAACUUAUCCUUACAUCAGUACAUAAUUAAUAAAUUACUUUCACUUUAAAUAAUACACCAACAUAUAUUCUUAAUAUAAUAAUAAUAUUUUUCUUCUAUUCUUUUUCUUUGCCUUUCCCCUUAUCGGUACCCGAAGCCUCGACUUUAGCUAAAAAACAUGAAUAUAUAAUAAUGGUGAACAAAAAAUUUGCUCGGUAAAUAUAUAACAGUUGAAUGAGAUAUAUAUUAACGCCAAGUUUCGUCGACGCGUCCAAUUACAG
rnacentral:lncRNA from 1 species